UACAGAGGGGGCAAGCGUUGUUCGGAAUUACUGGGCGUAAAGGGCGCGUAGGCGGCCUUCUAAGUCGAACGUGAAAUCCCCGGGCUCAACCCGGGAAACUGCGUCCGAUACUGGAAGGCUUGAAUCCGGGAGAGGGAUGUGGAAUUCCAGGUGUAGCGGUGAAAUGCGUAGAUAUCUGGAGGAACACCGGUGGCGAAGGCGACAUCCUGGACCGGUAUUGACGCUGACGGCGG
rnacentral:rRNA from 1 species